GACGAACGCUGGCGGCGUGCUUAACACAUGCAAGUCGAACGGAAAGGCCCUGCUUUUGUGGGGUGCUCGAGUGGCGAACGGGUGAGUAACACGUGAGUAACCUGCCCUUGACUUUGGGAUAACUUCAGGAAACUGGGGCUAAUACCGGAUAGGAGCUCCUGCUGCAUGGUGGGGGUUGGAAAGUUUCGGCGGUUGGGGAUGGACUCGCGGCUUAUCAGCUUGUUGGUGGGGUAGUGGCUUACCAAGGCUUUGACGCGUAGCCGGCCUGAGAGGGUGACCGGCCACAUUGGGACUGAGAUACGGCCCAGACUCCUACGGGAGGCAGCAGUGGGGAAUAUUGCACAAUGGGCGGAAGCCUGAUGCAGCAACGCCGCGUGCGGGAUGACGGCCUUCGGGUUGUAAACCGCUUUCGCCUGUGACGAAGCGUGAGUGACGGUAAUGGGUAGAGAAGCACCGGCUAACUACGUG
rnacentral:rRNA from 1 species